GAUGAACGCUGGCGGCGUGCUUAACACAUGCAAGUCGAACGGAAAGGCCCAAGCUUGCUUGGGUACUCGAGUGGCGAACGGGUGAGUAACACGUGGGUGAUCUGCCCUGCACUUCGGGAUAAGCCUGGGAAACUGGGUCUAAUACCGGAUAGGACCACAUUUUGGAUGGUGUGGUGGAAAGUUUUUCGGUGUGGGAUGAGCUCGCGGCCUAUCAGCUUGUUGGUGGGGUAAUGGCCUACCAAGGCGUCGACGGGUAGCCGGCCUGGGAGGGUGUACGGCCACAUUGGGACUGGGAUACGGCCCAGACUCCUACGGGGGGCAGCAGGGGGGAAAAAUGCACAAUGGGCGCAAGCCUGAUGCAGCGACGCCGGGGGGGGGAUGACGGGCUUCGGGUUGUAAACCCGUUUCGCUAGGGACGAAGCGUUAUGUGACGGUACCUGGAGAAGAGGCACCGGCUAACUACGUG
rnacentral:rRNA from 1 species